rnacentral:rRNA from 1 species
GGAUGAACGCUAGCGAUAGGCUUAACACAUGCAAGUCGAGGGGCAGCAUGGUCUUAGCUUGCUAAGACUGAUGGCGACCGGCGCACGGGUGCGUAACGCGUAUGCAACUUGCCUCACAGAGGGGGAUAACCCGUCGAAAGACGGACUAAUACCGCGUACACUUGGGAUAGGGCAUCCUGACCCAAGGAAAUGAAAUUCGCUGUGAGAUAGGCAUGCGUCCCAUUAGCUAGUUGGUGAGGUAACGGCUCACCAAGGCGACGAUGGGUAGGGGAACUGAGAGGUUGAACCCCCACACUGGUACUGAGACACGGACCAGACUCCUACGGGAGGCAGCAGUGAGGAAUAUUGGUCAAUGGGCGAGAGCCUGAACCAGCCAAGUCGCGUGAAGGAUGACUGUCUUAUGGAUUGUAAACUUCUUUUAUACGGGAAUAACAAGAGCCACGUGUGGCUCCCUGCGUGUACCGUAUGAAUAAGCAUCGGCUAACUCCGUG